CUAGAUCAGUAGGCCUCGAUCCUACAAAAUAUUAAUCAACAACUAACCACCCAAACCAGCGGGCUUUAAUCU
rnacentral:tRNA from 1 species